AUUGAACGCUGGCGGCAGGCCUAACACAUGCAAGUCGAACGAGUGGCGGACGGGUGAGUAAUGUCUGGGAAACUGCCCGAUGGAGGGGGAUAACUACUGGAAACGGUAGCUAAUACCGCAUACCAUCGGAUGUGCCCAGAUGGGAUUAGCUAGGAGGUGGGGUAACGGCUCACCUGGGCGACGAUCCCUAGAUGCGUUGAGAGGAUGACCAGCCACACUGGAACUAGAACACGGUCCAGGCUCCUACGCGAGGCGGCAGUGGAGAAUAUUGCACAGUGGGCGCAAGCCUGAUGCAGCCAUGCCGCGUGUAUGAAGAAGGCCUUCGGGUUGUAAAGUACUUUCAGCGAGGAGGCGUUACUCGCAGAAGAAACACCGGCUAACUCCGUGCCAGCAGCCGCGGUAAUAA
rnacentral:rRNA from 1 species